rnacentral:lncRNA from 1 species
GGGAAAAGCAAUGAAGGAAUUGGCUAAAAAGGGGAAGUUUAACAAGCAUCUUUUUAACUUGUUAAAGAUGAUGGUUGAGAAGAACAAGUUGGGGAUUGUAAGUGAAGUGUUGGAAGAGUUCGAGAGGGUUUUCGAUGAGUUGAUUGGGACUAAACAGGUUUGGGUUUCGUCGGAGAAGAUGAUUGGGGAAGACAUGUUGUUUAAAAUUGCUAUAAAGGUUCAAAAGCUUAGUGGUGCUGUUAAAGUUAAGGUCAAGAACUUGGUUAUUGAUAAGCUACCCAAAAU